UCUCGACUUGGCUCAGUGGAUAAGGCGCUACCCUCCUAAGGUGGAGAUGCCGAGUUCGAACCUCGGGUAGGGUA
rnacentral:tRNA from 1 species